ensembl:lncRNA
AUUGUACUUGUUAUUAAUCUCUGUCUCUCUUCCACAGCAUGUCUUUAUCCUGUUUUCCUUCUCUCACCCCAACCGGUUGCAGCAGAUGGCCGCCCCUCCCUGAGCCCGGUUCUGCUGGAGGUUUCUUCCUGUUAAAAGGGAGUUUUUCCUUCCCACUGUCACCAAAGUGCUUGCUCAUAGGGGGUCAUAUGAUUGUUGGUUUUUUUCUCUGUAUCUAUUAUUGUACGAUCUACUAUACAAUAUAAAGCGCCUUGAGGCGACUGUAGUUGUGAUUUGGCGCUAUAUAAAUAAAAUUGAAUUGAAUUGAAUGGGUGAGUGUGAGAUCAUUUCACAUUUGCCAUUUCUUUCUUUAUUUUUCUUUUCUUUUUAUGUGUGUGCAAACAUUUCUGGGUUUUUUUUUAUUUCUUGGGAUUCGGUAUCUUUGGAAGAGUUUAUCUCUGUAUGUGUGCAAAUGUAUGUGGAUUCAUUUAAUCCUGCAAUCCUGAGAUUUAAGGUUGGAUCAAGCUCAAUGCAGGCACACCGAAUGGGCCACGCAUGAUCAGGAAACAUGUGGAAACAUUUCCGUGUUUGGAUUGCUUGGAAUUUUGUUCCGGUGGUUUCUUUAGCCGUUUCUAUCUCUGUAUGUGUGGAAAUCUUUGUGCAUUCCCGUGUUCCUGCUUUGAGAUCUAAGGUUGGCUGAAUUGGUUGCUCUCUGUGGACAAUCACAUUUGUGCACAAACAUUUCUGUGCUUGGAUUUUUAGGAAUUUUGGAUUGGUAAUCAGUUUACCAAUCCAGAUGUGUACAGAAGUAUGUGCAUUCAUGUGUACAUGUGUGGAGAUCUGAGGCUGGUUUCUAGGGUGGACCUCUGCACAUAAUCAUAUGUGUGUGCAAACAUUUCUGUGUUUGGAUUGAUUGAAAAUUGGGUCUGUUGGUUUCUUUGUUAGCAGUUAUCUCUGGUUGUGUGCAAAUGUGUGCAUGCGUUAUUUCAUUAUUUAAUUAAUAAAAUUAAAUUCAUUUUGCACUCGUGGCUCUCCUUAGCCUGGUUUCCCCUUUUGGCAAUAACCUCUUUGGCUUUGGAGAAAACCCUUUCACGUGGUACUGAAGAGGCAGAAGUGCACAAGUACCCCACAGUAGGCUUAUGUUAGGCUAAAAUAUAUGCACCUCCACCCACGGAUCCGUUCCACUUUAUGUAUGUCCAGAAAUCACACCAACACUCACUUUCUGAACUAGCGAGGCUUCAGACGUCAUCACCGACGUCACUCACCCAUAAAGGUGCAAGCAACACACGAUUCCUGAAAUACUUCCUGGACUUCUCAACACACCCUCCGAAACCUUCCCUUUUUUUCCCAGCACAUAUCAUUUUUAUGUCAAGUACGCAUUUUUAACGCAGCAUUUUUUUUAUUAUUAAUAUUAUUAUUAUCAUUAUUGUUUUUUUUUUUUUUUACAGUUUCACUUAAAAUCGCUGUUAGGCUAAAUGAAUGUUUUAUUCUGAAAUUCGGCCCGGAAGUCCGUUCGCCUGUGGCAAAGUGAAACAAGAGCAUAUCGGGGUCUUGGGAAAAAGGGCUGCUUUGCUAAGGUAUGUGUUACUGCGUUUGACUUGCGUGUUACUAGUAUGUUAUGUGUGUGUUUAACGUGAACGGCGAUCUUCGGCACUGUGAAAAUCCGCCUCCGCGUUUUGAGGUUUGAGUUGGUUUCUUGUCCCUCUCGAACGUGAGCUGAGGUACGACACCCAGGUGUUGACGAGCUUUUUGGAAACAAAUGUGCUAAUUAGCGGUCUAAGACUUGUCCUUGGUUACAAAGCCUUUCUUGCUGUUCUCUAACAAAAUGGUGUCUGUGUAACAGGAACACCGGGCUCGGUCUCUUUCACGGGCGAGUUUUAUCUCGGUGUGCGUUUCAGCGAACGUCAUGUUAGAUUUUUCACACCGGGACCUUUUUUUUUUUUUUUUUUAUAAACAUGGCUGUUCAAGUCCUUUGCCAGGAAGUAUACAUCUGGUAUCAUCAGCAUGGGCCAGAGAGAAACUGUGGGUACGCUGGGAAAGGAAGUCCAAUUAACGCUUAGAUGUCGGUAAGACGUUGGGCAAGCAACUAUUCGCAUCAUUUAUAUGUGUAAGCAGUAUCACAUAAGUAGUAAUGCCAAAGUUUCACUUUUAAGCUUUGAAAGUUCAAAAGUAGUUUUGUAACAUUUUAGUUUAAGAAAAAGUGUUAAAGUACUCAAUGCAGAAGAAUUUCCCAUGUUAACGUUACAGUGGGGGAAUAAUUAUUUGCUCUUCUGCUGAAUUUGUUUGUUCACUUACCAAAAAAAGAACAGUCUCAAAUUUUUAUGGUAGUUUCAUUGAUAUUCUCUCUCUCUCUAUUAAAAUGAAACACACGCACAUUACAUAAAAGUUGGAAUUUAUUUGCAGGUCAUUAAGUCAGAUGAGUAUUUGAGCCCCUGUAACAAAGCCAGAAUACAACCAAAUGAAUUAGAUCCUUCUGUUCUCAACUUGUUUUGUGCAUUAAGCACACAUAACAAGAUUCCACAGAAUCAGUGUCUUUCAUUCCUACAUCUCCACCACCGUGGGAAACACCAAAGGACCUCGUGGAUAAGAUUGUAGACUGGUACAAGGCUGGACUGGGCUACGAGACCAUGAGCAAGAAGCUUGUCAAUCACCUGAAGGAAGCUGGAGCCACAGUUAACAAAAACAUACCUGGUAAUCCACUAUGCAACAACGGAUUGAAACACCCACAAGGUCCCCGUAAUCAAGAACAUGUAUAGGCCUGUCUGAACUUUGACAGUGAACAUCUUAAUGAUUCACAGGAGGCCUGAGGAAAACUGCUGAAGUUGCAUGAAACCAAAAUCAAGCUCUUUGGGGAACACCAUCCCCAUACUCGAGCACAGAGAUGGACACACUGUACUUCUACUGUACUGCACACAUUGUGAUUGGUACAUGGUGAAAAUUAUAUAGGGUAAUUUACUGGUUCACUCUGGGCUGUUUUAUUGGGACUGACAAAGAGCCACAGAUGAGCAGCUGGCAUAUUCUUAUUCUUAUUCUUUGACCUAAGCAUUCGUGUUGCAUCUCAAUUACAUCAAGGGGACGCUGGGACGCGUUGCUAUGAUAAUGACCAUCCACAUCAGAUGGUACUAGAUUUUAAUGGACAAGCAGUCAAUCCAAGUAGGUACUAAUGGAAAAGGGCUUUGGUUGAGGUUUGUGCUCUUGGAGUGCUUGUUUAUCGCAUGUGGUUGCCUAGACACUGUGGAUGAUUCUUCUGAUAUGACCCAAAACAUGCUGCCAAGGCAACAAAGGAGUGGCUAAAGAAGCAUAUUAAGGUCCCCGGCUGUCCUACCCAGACUCCAGACCUCAAUUCUAUAAAAAUCUGUGAGACGAGUUGAAGCCUGAGAAAGAAACCUUUAGAGUUUCUAUAAAGAAGAGUUGUCCAGAAUCCCCCCUGUGAUGUGUGCAACCUUGAUGGCCAACUAUAGGAAACAUCUGUCAGCUGUGCUUACAACAAGGGUUUCUCCACCAACAACAAAGUCAUGUUUUGUCAAUUCCCCGAUUGUGUACUGCUGGAAGCUGAGAUCAUGGAUCUCCUCAGCAGUUUGGAAAUCUACAUCCCUGCGGAGGCUGAGGUGAAAAACAUCCCUUUGUUGACCUUGCCAAAGUCUGUACUCAGAAGAAUGGGCCUCCCUCUACUGAAUGCCUCCAGGAAUCUUGCAGACUCUCCAGAAGGCAUAUGGAUUUCUCCAGCAGUUAUACGGAAGAAAGGCCAGAGACACACAGGAAGUGCAAUAGAUAACAUGACCUCCGUGCUGGGGAAAGAGUUGCGCGCUUCAAGGGGUCCUUUUCGAAUGUCUUUUGUUUCCUCGAACCGUGCAGCUCACGAGGUGCUGAAGGGCACCGUUCCCAAGGCACCUCUAUGUCAAACCUCUCAAUUCCCUUCGGACUCUGCCCCGCGAACCGGUCGAGAUGCUGUCGUCAUCUACCGUGGGCAAGUUUACUUGUCCAUCAGAAUGCCUAGUCGUAGCCAUAGUCAGCGUGGGAAACAGAUGACUUCUCAGCCUGUCACUCCUUCAACGUCCCACUUGUCUUCAAAGAAAAGGAAAAAGACGAUGCCAAGCGACAACAAGCCCAAGAAAAAGCACAACAUAUGUAAAGUAAUGCAUACAGAAAACAAGAAGGAUGACGCACACAGGACAAGAGAUGUUCACUUUCUGCCAAAACCCACUGAGAGUGAGUGUGAAGUGGGCAGCCAGUGUCCUGCAGAUUCUAGAGGAGAGCCGCUCUCAGAGGCCCCCCUGAAGGCAGCUUGCUUUCAGCCUCACAGGGAGCCAGAGGAGGAUCUGGCUGCCGAGGAAGCAGACGGCCCCGGUGAGAACAAUGACAGAGGUGGUAGUCUACAGAUGGACAUCAGGGAAGUUGACCAAAGUAGCAGGGGCAGGGUGGAGCCCCUGGGUGCAGCUGCCGCCUCCACAUCACUGCAGAUGGACUGUGACUUUAACGAGUUGGCACAGGAGGAGAAGAUCGCUCAAAUGAGAGCCAAACUUAGACAGAGCGAAGCUGCUCUAAACCUGCUUUCUUAAAGUGACCUCACAUUUGUUAGCCUUUUUGUACUGAAUGUUUAGAAUAGACUUUUAUACAUUUGUCUUCUGUGAACACAUGCACAUUAAUAAAAGUGGUGUCGAUGGGCUUAUGUGUUUGGUGAUCCUUUUUGUUUUAUUUAGGCGUCCAAAAACAGAUGUUGUACUAAUGUGGUGUUCUCUUCUCAUUAGGUGCAGUUUAUAGCAAGGUCUUCAAUGUUUGGAUGUUUUUGAUGUGUUAGUUCAUUUCCUUUUGAUAAAACCUCAAACCAUAGCAGCGUAUGGUUUGAUUAUUUCAAGCUGUAGUUUGGUCCCAUUUACAAAGUGAACCAAAUAGUUCUUUGUUAAAAUACUUCUUUUUUCCAGAAUAUAUAAUGUGUUUUUCCUGGUUCAGUAACUAAGACUGUUUUUGUCUUUCUUUCUUAUUUUUUUUAUUUUUUUUUUUAAUCAAGCAUACCAAAUCACACUUUUGUUUUUGUUUAGUAUGAUAGUUUCCCUGAUCACCUUGAAACACCUCCACAGGUCAUGAGUUGGUCUUAUGUUUGUUGAAAGUGCUCCAAACCAUAAACAAUAAAUAUGACUAAUCUUUGUGCAUAUGUUUCAUAAUGAGACUUUUAAUACUAAGACCUGUAAAAAAUCAUUAUUAUUGCUGUUAUUAUUAUUAUUAUUAUUAUUGUUAUUAUUUGGUGACCUAGUGCUGAAAUGGUUGUGGUGUGACUGUUGUCCUUUCUACUCUGCUUUCUCACUCCUUAAAUUAUUUUUCAUAUGCAGGUCUUACACUCUGAGCCUGACAUUUCUUCUGUCAGUGUGGAACAAGAAAGUCAGGACUUUGAAUUGUGACAUAGUGACUGUGCUCACACUCACCUCUCUGCUUUGGUCCCUGAAUGAUUCAAAAUGUUUAGCAUGGACUCAUCUAGUGUUUAAGGUUUUCAUUUCUGUGUUUGAAAUUCAUUUCUAUAGAUGUAUAUCUGAUUGGAAAAUAUGUUUGCAUUAAAAGCAUUCUGUAUGGGGCUUUGACUUUUUGUUUUAAAGAAGCAUCUCACCACACCAAAGGGUCACAGUUUAUGCUGUAACCAGGGUUGGAAUCAGAAGAGUUCAGAAUAUUGAAACUGAAGGAAAGUUUAAAA